rnacentral:rRNA from 1 species
AUUGAACGCUGGCGGCAUGCCUUACACAUGCGAGUCGAACGGUAACAGGUCUUCGGAUGCUGACGAGUGGCGAACGGGUGAGUAAUACAUCGGAACGUGCCCGAGAGUGGGGGAUAACGAAGCGAAAGCUUUGCUAAUACCGCAUACGAUCUCAGGAUGAAAGCAGGGGACCGCAAGGCCUUGCGCUCACGCAGCGGCCGAUGGCAGAUUAGGUAGUUGGUGGGAUAAAAGCUUACCAAGCCGACGAUCUGUAGCUGGUCUGAGAGGACGACCAGCCACACUGAGACUGAGACACGGCGCUGAAUCCUACGGGAGGCAGCAGUGGGGAAUUUUGGAUAAUGGGGGCAAGCCUGAUCCAGCCAUGCCGCGUGCAGGAUGAAGUCCUUCGGGUUGUAAACUGCUUUUGUACGGAACGAAAAGACUCUGGUUAAUACCUGGGGUCGAUGACGGUACCGGAAGAAUAAGGACCGGCUAACUACGUGCCAGCCGCCGCGGUAA